GCACCUGUAGCUCAGCUGGAUAGAGUACUGCCCUCCGAAGGCAGGGGUCGUGGGUUCGAAUCCCGCCUGGUGCACCA
rnacentral:tRNA from 1 species